AGAAGAGAUUGGAGAAGAAGAGAAUUUAAUUAUUCUUUGUUUUUUUUGUUCUUUUUCUUUUUCUUUUUCUUCUUUUUCUGGGGAGUGGGGAGAAUA
rnacentral:ribozyme from 13 species